ACAUAAAUUCGAUACAUUUGAACAACCCGCGACGUGAGCCGUUGACAAUCUCUCAGGGACUCAAAUUGGACUGUAUUCAUGAGUAUGGAGACCAAUAAAAAAAAACUACACAUUCAAGAAGAGAAGAUAAAGAAUGAGCUUGAGACCCAGGGUUAUUCCGUGGUCCCCGGGUGAUUCCACUGGAGGAAUGUGACAAGUACACUCAGGAAUUCCGGACCUGGCUGGACAGGUUUGGGGAGGAUUCCCCCGUACGUAAGAGGUCCGGCAUCACGCAUCAGUACAGGACGUCCCACUCUAACGCCGCCAGGCGGCUCAGACUUCACGCCAAACCUGUGUUCGAAUCCAUCUGGGGCACGGAGAAACUUUUAGCUAGUGUAGACGGUAUGUCUAUAUCGGAGCCCCCGGAACAAGGUCGAAGCAACUUCUCCAAACCUGAGAAUUGUUGGUUUCACCUUGACCAAGGGAGCUGGCGAAAGGGACUGCAUGCGUACCAGGGGGCGGUCUAUUUGGAGGAAACGACCCCAUCAGACUACUGCUUUAGAGUGCUCGAGGGCUCCCAAAAAUACCACCAGGACUUGAUGGACACUUUCUCAGAUGUCAAUGAAGCAAUGGCAGGCAAAGAUUUUUACAUUUUAAAAAAUCACCACUUAAAAUUCUACCAGAAUAAAGGGUGCGCGAAAAAGAAAGUCCCCGUCCCCAAGGGUGGACUGGUGCUAUGGGAUUCCAGAUUGGUCCACGAUACCCUAGCCCCCGUAGAAGGUCGGCCUCAUGCCGACAGAUGGCGCUUUGUUAUUUACGUUUGCAUGACCCCUGCGAUCUGGGCUUCGAAGAUAGAUUUUAAGGUCAAGAAGAAGGCUUACGAGGAGAUGCUGUGUUCUGCUCACUGGCCAUCUCAAGGGGUCAAGCUCUUCCCGGGUACACACGAGGAUGAACCGACAAAACACAAGCGGAUCGAGAUGGUAGAGUAGCAGCCCUCGAUAGCCAGAACGAGGCUGGUACAGCUACUGGCGGGGUUGGAGGCUUACGACUUCACUGAUGGACGUCCAAAUGGACCCUACUGGGAGCCAAGAUGGACCCCGAGAUAGAGUAAUAUGAAGGCGGUCGUCCAAGAUCCACGGCGAGUUAUUUCUCUUAGCUCAGGGCAAACUUGAUAUCUUAAAAAACUUAUUUGUUGAACACUCCGUUUUAAGAACCUAUUAUUUAGCAAAUAUCUACAAAUCCAUUUAAAGUACGAAAAUUCU
rnacentral:misc_RNA from 1 species